rnacentral:lncRNA from 1 species
GUCUCAGCAUUAUCAGCAUGCUUUCCAGCUGCAAAGAAAAGAGACGACCACCAGAUAAUUCCUUUUAUGUGCGAACAUGUAACAAGAAUCCAAAGAAAACAAAAUGGUGGUAUCAUGAUGAUACUUGUUGAUGCCACUGUUCUCAUCCUCGUAGCAGAAGAUAGUCCUACUGAGAAAAUGAGCACUUUGAUCAUUCAGUCUUUGAACUUUAACCUUUGACUGGAAGUGACCUAUAGGCAAUGAAGACUACUUCCUUUUACUGCAUUUUUACUCGUGUGCAUUCUGGGCGCAUGUUGAUCGCUGGUUCAGUCCAGGCAACUGACAUGCUUUUAUUAGUCAUACAGUAUUAAUGCAGGUGUCAGGAAAUGUCAAAUAUAAUUCCAUUUUUUUUAUUUUUAUUUUUUUAAGCUUUUGGAAAAGUUCCAGGUCCUCAUGUGUUGUGCAAUAACAGUGACUUCCUCAGUGGUUUGGGGGCGUUCAUUGCCGGCAAUGGACGUUGUGAAAGAGUGAGUUUUCUUAACUCCUGCCACUCGGUGAUUAAUGCAUGAUAGGGCCUCUGAAAUGAAUUUACCGGUUAUUGUGGGAUUAUAAGGAAAGUGAGGGAUCCAACGUUACAUUGAAAGACACCCCAGCUGUUGAUAUUGGAUUCUAUGCACUGUGAUCCUAAGGCUAACAGCAUGAAAACAUGCAUCUUUAAAGGACCGUGAGAAAGAUCAUUGCAUAUUUAUUUAAUUGUUUAUAUCUGCUGUCAAAUUGUUUUGACAUGGAAAGUUUUCGAGGAACAUUGGCAGAGAGGUACAAUAUGUUAUCCCUAUGGUGAAAAUAAAUUCAUUUAUUGUAUAUAAUCCUCAAUCUCUGAAGUAAAGGUGUGAAUAAUAGGGUAUGAAUGGUUUAACUAAGGCUUUGUUUUGGAAGUAAAAAAAUAGCAGUGAUGAUUAAAUUACUGCCAUCCAUCAUUUGGGCCUGUUAUUAUUUUCCAAGUAUAUGACACUCUUACUUCCUGCUAGCCAUCAGCAUGAGCCCUGUUACCUAAACACUAUUCAUCUAUUUAUGUUUGGAAAAAUCCAUAAACAUUUUUGUUUGUAAUCUUGUUUCUUUUGUUAUGUUUUCAGUUUGUUUUAAUGUUACAAUACUUUAAUUGAAAGAAUUUUGUCAAGUUUUUUCUUGUAACUUUUCUUUACUUGUAUCAUCUUGUCCUUCAAUACUGUACCCUGAAAUGAGAAAUACAUUUUUGACAGAGGCUUAAUGUUUUA